rnacentral:rRNA from 1 species
GACGAACGCUGGCGGCGUGCCUAACACAUGCAAGUCAAGGAGAAGGAUUCCUUCGGGAGUCCGGAAACUGGCGCACGGGUGAGUAACGCGUAGGUAAUCUGCCCUAAUCCGGGACAUAACGUCGGGAAACCGGCGCUAAUAUCCCAUGAGGUACUUCGGUAUCAAAGCUUCGGCGGUUUAGGAUGAGCCUGCGUCUGAUUAGCUUGUUGGUGAGGUAAUGGCUCACCAAGGCUGCGAUCAGUAGCUGGUCUGAGAGGACGAUCAGCCACACUGGAACUGAGACACGGUCCAGACUCCUACGGGAGGCAG